GUGGGGAAUAUUGGACAAUGGGGGAAACCCUGAUCCAGCGACGCCGCGUGAGUGAAGAAGUAUUUCGGUAUGUAAAGCUCUAUCAGCAAGGAAGAAAAUGACGGUACUUGACUAAGAAGCCCCGGCUAACUACGUGCCAGCAGCCGCGGUAAUACGUAGGGGGCAAGCGUUAUCCGGAUUUACUGGGUGUAAAGGGAGCGUAGACGGCAAAGCAAGUCUGAAGUGAAAGCCCCGGGCUCAACCCGGGAACUGCUUUGGAAACUGUUUAGCUAGAGUGCAGGAGAGGUAAGUGGAAUUCCUAGUGUAGCGGUGAAAUGCGUAGAUAUUAGGAGGAACACCAGUGGCGAAGGCGGCUUACUGGACUGUAACUGACGUUGAGGCUCGAAAGCGUGGGGAGCAAACAGGAUUAGAUACCCGUGUAGUCC
rnacentral:rRNA from 1 species